CACGUAGGCGGACCGGAAAGUUGGAGGUGAAAUCCCAGGGCUCAACCUUGGAACUGCCUUCAAAACUAUCGGUCUGGAGUUCGAGAGAGGUGAGUGGAAUUCCGAGUGUAGAGGUGAAAUUCGUAGAUAUUCGGAGGAACACCAGUGGCGAAGGCGGCUCACUGGCUCGAUACUGACGCUGAGGUGCGAAAGCGUGGGGAAGCAAACA
rnacentral:rRNA from 1 species